rnacentral:rRNA from 1 species
GACGAACGCUGGCGGCGUGCUUAACACAUGCAAGUCGAACGGAAAUUCCCUGCCUUUGUGGGGUGCUCGACUGGCGAACGGGUGAGUAACACGUGAGUAACCUGCCCUUGCCUUUGGGAUAACCUCAGGAAAGUGGGGCUAAUACCGGAUAGGAGCUCCUGCUGCAUGGUGGGGGUUGGAAAGUUUCGGCGGUUGGGGAUGGACUCGCGGCUUAUCAGCUUGUUGGUGGGGUAGUGGCUUACCAAGGCUUUGACGGGUAGCCGGCCUGAGAGGGUGACAGGCCACAUUGGGACUGAGAUACGGCCCAGACUCCUACGGGAGGCAGCAGUGGGGAAUAUUGCACAAUGGGCGGAAGCCUGAUGCAGCAACGCCGCGUGCGGGAUGACGGCCUUCGGGUUGUAAACCGCUUUCGCCUGUGACGAAGCGUGAGUGACGGUAAUGGGUAAAGAAGCACCGGCUAACUACGUG